AGAGUUUGAUCCUGGCUCAGGAUGAACGCUGGCGGCGUGCCUAACACAUGCAAGUCGAACGAAGCACUUACAGCAGAUCUUUUCGGAGUGAAGCAGUUUGUGACUUAGUGGCGGACGGGUGAGUAACGCGUGGGUAACCUGCCUUACACAGGGGGAUAACAGUUAGAAAUGACUGCUAAUACCGCAUAAGCGCACAGCAUCGCAUGGUGCAGUGUGAAAAGCCUUAACGGUGUAAGAUGGACCCGCGUCUGAUUAGCUAGUUGGCAGGGUAACGGCCUACCAAGGCGACGAUCAGUAGCCGGCCUGAGAGGUUGAACGGCCACAUUGGGACUGAGACACGGCCCAGACUCCUACGGGAGGCAGCAGUGGGGAAUAUUGCACAAUGGGCGGAAGCCUGAUGCAGCGAUGCCGCGUGGAGGAAGAAGGUUUUCGGAUUGUAAACUCCUGAUCUGAGGGACGAUAAUGACGGUACCUCAGGAGAAAGCUCCGGCUAACUACGUGCCAGCAGCCGCGGUAAUACGUAGGGAGCGAGCGUUGUCCGGAAUUACUGGGUGUAAAGGGUGCGUAGGCGGGUUUGCAAGUCAGAUGUGAAAUGCCGGGGCUCAACCCCGGAGCUGCAUUUGAAACUGCAGAUCUUGAGUGAGGUAGAGGUAAGCGGAAUUCCUAGUGUAGCGGUGAAAUGCGUAGAUAUUAGGAGGAACAUCGGUGGCGAAGGCGGCUUACUGGGCCUUUACUGACGCUGAGGCACGAAAGCGUGGGGAGCAAACAGGAUUAGAUACCCUGGUAGUCCACGCAGUAAACGAUGAUAACUAACCGUUGGCGAUAGACAGUCAGUGGCCAAGCGAAAGCGAUAAGUUAUCCACCUGGGGAGUACGACCGCAAGGUUGAAACUCAAAGGAAUUGACGGGGGCCCGCACAAGCGGUGGAGCAUGUGGUUUAAUUCGAUGAUACGCGAGGAACCUUACCCGGGCUCGAACGGUGCAGGAAGAGAUCCAGAGAUGGUGACGUCCCUUCGGGGACCUGUAUCGAGGUGCUGCAUGGUUGUCGUCAGCUCGUGCCGUGAGGUGUCGGCUUAAGUGCCAUAACGAGCGCAACCCUUACCUUCAGUUGCCAGCGGGUUAAGCCGGGGACUCUGGAGGGACUGCCAGCGUAAGCUGAGAGGAAGGUGGGGAUGACGUCAAAUCAGCACGGCCCUUACGUCCGGGGCGACACACGUGUUACAAUGGGGGAUACAGAGGGUAGCUACCCGGCGACGGGAUGCCAAUCUCGAAAGUCCUUCUCAGUUCGGAUCGGAGUCUGCAACUCGACUCCGUGAAGUUGGAUUCGCUAGUAAUCGCGCAUCAGCCAUGGCGCGGUGAAUACGUUCCCGGGCCUUGUACUCACCGCCCGUCA
rnacentral:rRNA from 1 species